GCCUCUAUGGCGUAGUGGUAGCGCGUCGCACUUGUACUUUACAAGGACAUGCGAAGGUCACUCGUUCGAUCCGGGUUGGAGGCA